rfam:Echinostoma caproni strain Egypt genome assembly, scaffold: ECPE_scaffold0004905
GGCCUCGUAGAUCAGCUGGUAGAACGUGUGCUGUACAAAAGAGUAGGCGGCGUCCAUGCGUGGGUUCGAAUCCCACCGAGGCUA